CCUACGGGAGGCAGCAGUGGGGAAUAUUGCACAAUGGGCGAAAGCCUGACGCAGCGACGCCGCGUGAGUGAAGAAGGUCUUCGGAUCGUAAACCUCUGUCGGCAGGGAAGAACGUUCCCUGUACUAAUCGUCCGUGAAUUGACGGUACCUGCCAAGGAAGCACCGGCUAACUCCGUGCCAGCAGCCGCGGUAAUACGGAGGGGGCAAGCGUUAAUCGGAAUUAUUGGGCGUAAAGCGCUCGUAGGCGGUCUGUCAAGUCAAGGGUGAAAUCCCCGGGCUCAACGUGGGAACUGCCUUGGAAACUGGCAAACUGGAGUGUGGGAGAGGAGAGUGGAAUUCCAGGUGUAGGAGUGAAAUGCGUAGAUAUAUGGAGGAACAGCAGUGGCGAAGGCGACUAGCUGGAACAUAACUGACGCUGAGGUGCGAAAGCGUGGGUAGCAAACAGGAUUAGAUACCCUAGUAGUC
rnacentral:rRNA from 1 species